GACGAACGCUGGCGGCGUGCUUAACACAUGCAAGUCGAACGGAAAGGCCUGCUUUCCCUUGUGGAUUGCGGGUACUCGAGUGGCGAACGGGUGAGUAACACGUGAGUGAUCUGCCCCCAACUUGGGUAUAAGCCUGGGAAACUGGGUCUAAUUCCCGAUAGGACUGCAGGGUGGUGCCUGUGGUGGAAAACGAUUUUCUAGUGGUUGGGGAUGAGCUCGCGGCCUAUCAGCUUGUUGGUGGGGUAAUGGCCUACCAAGGCGGCGACGGGUAGCCGGCCUGGGAGGGUGGACGGCCACAUUGGGACUGAGAUACGGCCCAGACUCCUACGGGAGGCAGCAGCGGGGAAUAUUGCACAAUGGGCGGAAGCCUGAUGCAGCGACGCCGCGUGGGGGAUGACGGCCUUCGGGUUGUAAACUCCUUUCGACCGCGAGGAAGCCACCUGGUUGGAAGGGUGGUGACGGUAGUGGUAGAAGAAGCACCGGCUAACUACGUG
rnacentral:rRNA from 1 species